ACUUCUGCACAAUAAGUUUGUGGAUGUCCUUGGUGGCUCAGUGCAACGCUCGAUGUACAAAGACCUUAUCUUGCUGCUUCAAAAGGACAAGUACCUGACCCCAGCUGCACAGCUGAAGUCCAAGUUUUCUCUGUCUUGGUGGCCAAGGGGAGAGAGCAUCCUGUCAGACCUCCGCCACGGCCUCAAAACUGAUGUCAUCCUCGUCAACUCCUGUAUC